GUUGGCAGUUAAAAGUCUAAGUAAAUACUAUUUUGACGUGUUUUGCCUAACUUUUUUCAUUUUUUCCUUCCUUUUUUUUUUGGGAGAAAAGGGGGGGGGGAUUAUUUUAUUAGAAGAAAAGGUUGUAUGUGAUGUCAUACAAUGUUUAAUCCCACUCGUCAGUAGACCUUGACAAAUAUAUUCCAUACUCAGUGGGUAUUUAGGGAAUUCAAAGUACUGUCAAGCAGGAAAUGACUGAUUGCGUCAUUUCUUUAUAAAUUGUCUGUAUACGUGUUACCAUUCAGCUUUAUGAACAAAUGUCAAACCAUUCCUUAAUAUGUACAGGAGUAGACUAAUAUCCUCGGUGGAUACAAAUACGGUUAAACAAAUGUAGUGACUAUCUCGGGUAGAUCUUAAAAAUCGCUAACACGGCACAACUAAACAAGUAAAAUUAAAAAAAAUACUGAACUCCGAGGGGAAUUCAAAAAGGAAAGUCAAAUGGCAAAAUCAUUAAUGCGGUUCUACAAAUCAAACGAAUGGAUAACAACUGUCAUAUAUCAGACCA
rnacentral:lncRNA from 1 species